UAAUUGAAGAGUUUGAUCAUGGCUCAGAUUGAACGCUGGCGGCAGGCUUAACACAUGCAAGUCGAGCGGAAACAGUUCAAAGCUUGCUUUGAAGAUGACGAGCGGCGGACGGGUGAGU
rnacentral:ncRNA from 1 species